UGCGCACGGCCCCGCGCGGCGGCGCGGCCUUUGAAGUCGCGGCGGCUGCCGCUUUCAUCCUUUCUUUUUUCCCUCGCAGGCCCCUUUGUGUGACUAAAUUUGGCAAGAAUAUGGAUCUGAGCCAGUCUUUCCACGUGUGCUCCCAGCUCCCAGCUGAGAAGGCCAAGGGUUCUCUUCCGGAUGCAGCCUUUUUGAAAUUUAUUCUUGGCCAAAAGAGGAAGAUAGUUCAAGGAUUCUAUCUUGCUUUUGGGGGGCAAUGGAGAAACCCUGAAAACACUUAAGGAAAACCUGAGGCCUUCUAUAAGAAAAUAAACUCCCUGAAAGGGGAGGCAGGGCCAAGGAAUUUACUUAUUUUUAUAAAUCUCUUUCCUGGGUGGAUAUGGUAAUGGAUGUGUUUCUUGAAUUGUGGUAAAUGUACCUCAUAAAAUGGAUGGACUGGGGCUAUAUUCUCAGGCUUCCUGGGCUCUGUUGGCAUUGGGCAAGCACGUAAUGCCUGGUUUGAGGCUAGAAGCCAAAGCCACAACCUUCUUGCAGUACCAACUGAGCCAUAGGGAGAUUAAUGCAGAACAAGGUCGUUAGUCUCAUUGUUUAUCCAGUUACUAGCCGCAUAGAUUUUGUGUAAAUUUCAGCUACAGUGGUUGCAGCCUGCCUUUGAUGUGUGUAAUCUGUACAUUUUAGUGCUCCAGGAAAGUACCUGAUUGACAAGAUCUACAUCCAAUGCCCAGAAAACACAUCCUACACAGGCACAGUGAAGCGUGGAGUUGAAGAAUUUUCCAGUGAGUUCCAUCAAAGUAAAUAAACCAACCUAGAGCAUCAGGAU
rnacentral:lncRNA from 1 species